rnacentral:lncRNA from 1 species
CUGCCCCUCUGCCUGCUUGUGCUCUCACUCCCUCUCUCUCUCUCAAAUAAAUAAAUAAAAUCUUUCAAUUAAUUAAUUAAUUGUUAGACUUAGGGUAAAGCAGAUUGCACUCCAAAAUGUGGGUGGCCCCCAUCUAAUCAGUUAAAGGCUCACAUAGAACAAAAGACUUGACCUCCCACAAGCAAGAGGGGAUUCUCCAGCUUGACAACCUUCAGACUUGAACCACGACGUCACCUCUUCCCUGAGUGUCUAGCCUACCAGCCCACCCUGUAGACUCUGGACUGCCAACCUCCAUAAUCACAUGAGUUAAUUCCUUAAAAUGAGUCUUUCUCUCUACAUAUACACAUCCUAAUGACUCUGUUUCUUUGGAGAACCAUGAAUAUUACAGUCUGCUAAAGUGAUUAAUUCUGAAGACAGAACAGUGAACAGAACGGACCCAGUCUAUGACCUCACUGAAUUUACAUUCUAGUGGGAAGAGUAAACAAUAAAUAAGAAACACACACAACAUUAAACAUGCCAUUGAGAGGUGUUUGCGAGUGUGUGGAACCCCAGGGCACAGAUCUGACUGGCCGGAAGGCAUAGCUGGAUAAAGAUCAGGGCAGAGCUGCUUUCAGUGAGGAUGAAAGGAACCCAACUGGCCUGCUCUUAUCUCCAGACAGCUAACCCCUGGCAUUUGGCUGCCAGGCUAAGCCUCCCCCUUAGCCCUCAAGGCCAGGCAAGGUAACAAGGUAGGAGUUCAUUUCUACUUUUUUUUCCUCCCAGCUCCAUAGCCAGACCUGGGUUCCAGGGAAAACCUCCAGCACCUUCCUGAAGCCUCCCAGAACUUUGCUGUUGAUAGGUUCUGAUGUCAGAAGGGGCCACAGGCCUCAGAAGCAGCCAGGCCUAGGACCUUCUGCCUCCCUCACAGGGACUCCUGUUCUUCCACAGCCCAGGUUACAUAAGAUUUCUCCUCACCUGCUUCCACAGGACCAGCCUCCUCCUCAAAUUAUGGUCCAGAUAGCAAAUAAUCUCCAAAACCACUUAAUGAUGAUUCCUGACUCCAUUAAGGUAAGUUUAAGUGCUUUGUUUAGAUCCUGUGUUACUGAGCCACCAAGAGAGAGAAAGGGACCAUUUCCCCCCUGCAGUUCCUUCUCCGGGCCACGAGGCCUUCACUGUCCACUUAAGCUGGAAGACAUCACUCCUGGGGUGCCUGGGCGGCUCAGGCAGUUGAGCAGCCGACUCUUGAUUUCAGCUCAGGUCAUGAUAUCCGGGUCCUGGGAUCGAGCCCCACAUUGGACUCCCUGUUCAAGCAAGAGUCUGCUCCAGGAUUCUUCCUCUCCCUCUGCCUCUCCCCCUGAUUGCUCGUGCUCUCUCUAAAAUAAAUAAAUACAUCUAAAAAAAAGAAAGAGAGAA